GAACAUACUUUCUCCCCUGUCUUUGAAAAUGGCCCCUGAGCCUUAGGGGAGGAGUGUGAGAUAGAUGUCCACUUUGCAGCUGAGCAUUGCACAGACACUUGGUCUUCACGGAGCAGUGAAACAGCAAUGUGGGUCAAUACCACCAGGAAUGUAGCUAUGAGUUCCUUCAGCAGAGGUGAUGAUGGAUUCUGGGCUGCUGGUGAUGUUCAGUUACUUGAUCAGGCUGAUGGUCAUUCCCUUGUUAAGUUGAUGAGCUGCCCACUUACACAGGUUUGCAGUACCUCCUGCUGUCUUUGAAUUUAUGUGAUGUCCCAGCACAAGAACAUCUUCAUAUGUAAUUACACAUCAAUGUCCUCCGGUGUCACUGAGGAAACCUUGAAGUCUCUGAAGUCAAGGACAAGUUCUCUGGCCUGUUUGUUGCUGUCACCUGCCUUGGUGCUGAUUCUUCACUGGUUUCAUUUCUAUAGCACAAAGGAAUCUGUAUUUCAUAGUGUUUAUCAAUGUCAGACUGUACUUCAAUUCUGCCAUGUGCUAGUGGGGGGCUCUUAGUCACAGUGUUUCAUCUUACUAACUCAUACAUAAAAAACAUAGAUAAUAAUAACAAUGCAUGCCUCAGAUGACUGUAGGAAUGGAAGCAUGCCUGUCAAAUGUGGAGUGUAUACUUGGCACACGUUAAGAAGACAAGAAGUGUUAGCUGUUAGUGGUCACUCAGUCUGUAUAAGAUGAAGGACUUGAAAUGGUGCCAUGCUGCCGAAUUAGAAAAUUAUACCCCUUAUGAUUUAGCAUAAUUUUCAAGUCCUAGUUCUAUACUAGUUUGUCAGAACUUGAAUGGCUGAAAUGAAUUAAGUGGAUAUUAUUACAGAAUUACUCUUUACCGGACUGGGACUGGAAAAAGUCAGUGAUAUUUAUUAAGUGACUGCUGCAUACCCAAUGCUGUAGGCAGCUUGCAAUGCUUCUGGGUAAAGCUUAGACUGAUUUUAUAUUUCAAUAGAAAAGGCAGACUAGAAAAAUUUCAACCUUGACUCCAUUAAUAAUUAACUCUCUGGUUUAGAGUGGGUGGCUUUACUUCUGAGGUUUUUUUUAUUUCUGAAAUGUAGUGAGAAUUAUAUAAAUAUUUUACAUAUUCAAAUAUUACAUUCUCUAAACAAAAUGCUACAUGCAUCAUUCCCUUACUUGAAUAUUUCACUUUAAAAAUGUCUGUCUCAUAACUUUUAAUAGGCUUUAAAUUGCUUUUGUUAUUUGAAAAAUAUGUUUCAUUCUGAAUUUUGUUUAUUGAAUCUGUAUUUUAGCCUACAAAAUAUUAAUUACUGAUUCACUGUGUGUCUGCUGCUGAGGUAUGCACACAAACACACACAUAAGUAAUAUAACAGCUAAUGAAGUACUCUAAGGUACUAGGUGAACAUAGAAGAAAGAGUGAUUAGCUAUUCUCUUAGAAGGUGGUAGCAAAGUUAUGAAUAAAGAUUUAAGCAUUUCCUGGGUCUUGGAGUAGAAGUUUUCCAUGUGUAGUCAUGGACUGGGAUUCCUGGCUGGAGAAAGAACACUGGCAAAGGCAGGGAGGCUUGCAAGCAGUAUUCUCAUGUGAAAUCAUAGACUGUUGUAGCCACGUCAUCUAUGCAUAUGUCUAUGUGGGUUAGAGAGCUGCCACUUGAUGACAGCUCCCACCAGGUCUUCCAGUGGGGCCAAAGCUGUUUGCAAACCUCUCCUCAUCUUUGCGUUCCCCGGUAUCUCACAGAUCAACUCAAAUUGGGCAAUGUGGGAAAAGUUACACUCAGAAACACUGCAACGCCAAUAACUCAGGGCUUUGUAGGUGGCAGGAAUUCUUCUUCCUUCCUUCCUUCCUUCCUUCCUUCCUUCCUUCCUUUCUUUCUUUCUUUCUUUCUUUCUUUCUUUCUGGGGAAUGAUUGUUAAACAUUCAUCAGUGUGCCUCUUGUAAGAAAUGGCAGUUUUGACAAGGUUAGUCUCAAAAGUUAAAUAAGGUGAGUUCGUGAGUGGCUUAGUAAGAUGAGCUAGGGGCUUUGCAUUUAAAAUAAAUUCCAUGUAUGAUUUAUACUGACAUGUGACACUUUGUGGGCAAAAUUUCUGUAGAAAAAUGAAGCACUGUGAAGGGGUAACACACAUUGAAACAGAAACUUGAUUGUGAAGGCAAAUGGUUAUAAAUUGUGUUCGGAGAACUGCACUGGCAAUGCUCAGGGUAAGAAUGAUCACAUUUGGAAAAGACUUGGUGGUCCUGUCAGCAAAAAUAAAAUGUUCUCUGCUUCAUAAGA